UCUACCGGUCUUCCAAGGCACUGAGAGCCCAUCGCCGCGGACGCCGCUGUAAAUUCCCUGCGGGCCCUGUGCACCACCCUGUGCGCGUCCCCCUCUCCCAGGCCAGGCUGAUAAUGUUAACAGCUCUCUGAGCUAUGCUCAUAUCCUGAACCACUGAGGACUGUGUUCUCCAGGAAUGCUCGCCUGACCCACGCCUGCCCUCUAAGCCCCUAAUGAGGCCCCAGAGGGCUGGGGUGGGGGGGUCUCUUUGUAGUAUCAGAGCAGGGCAGAUAGGCAAAAGGAGUCAGAGCCUGUGCCAGAAUAUGAGGUCAGUUGGCUGCUAGGUCAAUUAAGACAACUUCAGCAAGGGUGGUCAAUGUAGAGGGAAUUCAAUCGUUGGCAUUGCCUGAAAACAGGAAGCCAGAAUCUUUUUAUCUUGACGAACAAACCUCUAUUCAUUGGUCCUGACCUGAGCCACUUUGGUGAAUCCAGAUACCCUGAAGGUGUGACAAGACCUGCCUCACUUAUCCCCCAGCCUUCAGUGCUGGUCCCACAGAGAGCCAUAUGCUUGAGCUGAACUGCAGUUAAGCAGUGACAGCUACCCUCUGUCCAGGCUCUGAGGCCAGCUUUCUGCUCCGUGAGUCACUGACAGUGAGUCUCUACAGAGACUUUUUCUUUCUGUAGCAGCCAAGGUACCCUGCAAGCAACCCACGCCAUUGCCAUAUGUCUUAGUUUGUUUGUGUUGCUAUAAAGCAAUACCUGAGGCUGGGUAAUUUAUAAAGAAAAGAGGUUUGUUAGUUUCACAGUUUCACAGGCUGUAAAAGAAACAUGGCACCACCACCCGCUUUUGAUGAGGGCCUCAGGAAGCUUCCACUCAUGGCAGAAGACAAAGGAGAGCCAAUGUGUGCAAGACAGAGGAAGAGAGAGAGUGCCUAACAUCAAGAUUCUGCACUGGUCAUCAUUUCACAAACAUGAGCAGCAUGGCUGCUCCAAGACACACAGAGGGAAUAACCCCCAUUCACAUCACCAGGAAAUCCUUGCAUGGAGGCUAAAUGAACAGUUGUCCUUGGCCUUGAUCCGGAUACCCAGACGCCCUCUGAGAUGGACCUUGAGGGCCGUGCCAAUGUCUGCUCUCUGCUGAGGUAGGGCUCAUCUACUCCUUACAAGUAUAAGAACUUACUGCCAAACAUACCCUCCUCCAAGCCAUGGGUCCCCAGAUACAGUCAGGAGGACCCCAGUGGAUAGCUGGAACUCAGGACCUCAGGAGAGAUCCCAAGGCCUAUGCUCGAGUUCAGAGUUUUCUAAUUCAGGCUUGGAGCCCAGGAACAGAAGAUAACUAAGAACAAUACUGACAGAAAAAAAUAAUCACUUCAUUGACAUUACCCUUCACAGGACCGCCUGCUUCAGGCCUGUGCUUUGCAGCCUGGUUCAUUUGGGAAUGGUAUGCUUCACACCCAGCCCUGUUAAGUGUGAGUUGAUGAGGACCAUGAGCUUGGAAGAAGCCGUGGGGGCCUCUCUGUGUGUUUCUCUCUGCCCUGCUUUGAGACACUUCACAUAAAAGACUCUAUAAAAAUAAACUGUGGAGAUUUCAAUGCCAGUAAAAAUCCCAGUGGAGGUAGAAAACUAUUUAAAGAGCACAAGGACAUACAUUUAUCUUGUUGUGAAUCCCCGGCUGCCUGGUCCCUGAGCCUGACACACGGCAGAUGCCCAAUAAAUAUUAAUAGAUUGAUCAAUUUGUUGGCUGCUCAUCCAUUUGCAGCUUCAGCCAGCCCAUGGCUCUGCGUGCACACACCACAAGGAGAGAGAAUCCAUAGACUUCGACAGGAGAGAGCUGCUCAGCUGGCAGGAGAGCCUGCCACAAACCCUUGAACAUAAAUGUCCUGCCCUCCACUUCCAGCUCUACGUACUAACUGUAAAAUAAUGAUGUGGCAGAAAGUGAAGUGCAAAGACUGCCAAAUUCUAAGAAAGAACCUGGUUUCAUGCCUUUUAAUCCUUAUGAGUCAUUCCUUGGUCUGCGCCAAGCCCUGUGCUUUACAGCAAGAAUACAGAUGUCUUCAUUGAACUGCAUCUCAUUAGCUGGACCUAACAGAGUGCAAAUUUCUUUCCAAUGCCAUUUGAACUCAAUGCCCAGAUGCUUUUUUCCCCUGGGCCCGUGCAGAUGAAAUCUUGGGCUGGUUUAUAACUUUGAACACCCAGAAUAUUCCCAUUUCAGUUUAAGAUUCCCUCUGACUUAUCUAAUUGUUAGGCUCUCUUCACCUUCAGCCUGAGAAAUGGGCACCAUCAAUUUCUCCUUUCUCACCCAGCUUCACACCCAGGCCCUCCAGACUCAGUGGGUGUCUGACACCUCUACAGCUGGAGUCCUUCAGCAAUGGGCCCCCUGGGCUCAGCAGAUAUUUUGAGCUGGCCAUUUCUUCUGUGAGACAAUCUUGUGUUUUCUCAGGAAUUCCCCUGCAGAAGAUCUCUGAGUACAAACCCAUGCCCAGUGAUGUUGCCUCUGCCCAGCUACUUACAAGACCAUUCCUCGGCCCAUCCAGGGCUACCAAUCUGUUUAUGUAAUUUGUGCCAUGAAUAAAGGUACCAGACAAUUGAGUAAGUGGA
rnacentral:lncRNA from 1 species